UAUAGAUUUUGAUGAGACAUGAUUCCGAACAUCAAGGACUGUGAUUUUUAUCAUUACUAACUCCUUGAUCUGAUAGGACCUGCAAUGGAUGAAGGAUGACCAGGAAUUCUUCCGGAUUGUGAGUUCCCAACCCUUCAUUCACAGGCUAGCUCAUAGACAGUUAAGGCGAAGACGAAACAACAGUCCAAACUCAAUGACAAAAAAGAAAAAAGAAAAAAGAAAAAAAGAACUAUAGCAGUUAUGGAGUCGGAUACUUGUAACAUGGUCAUACUUGUAAGUAGUUACCAAUCUUUGGUGUGAUUCAGUUAUGGAGUCGGAUACUUGUAACAUGGUCAUUCUUGUAAGUAGUUACCAAUCUUUGUUGUGAUUGUCUCCUGAGAAUUUGCAUUUUAAGGAUCUGCCGAACCGGAUCCUUGUUAUACUUGACACCCAUAUGCAUAUCGGCUAACAUAGGAAAAUAGUCCAACAAUCAAAGGCUUAAUAAUUUUCCAGCCUGAGAUAUUUUUAGGAAUCAUCCAUCCGCUGCAGGGCAGGGCCUAUCAGAUCAAAGGUUUGAAUCACUGCACCAUGGUCCCAAACGUACAAAAUCAUUUAUUCAUAGGCCCGGUUUGGAAUGGGAUUGAAUUCUGUAGAAAAUGUUAGCCUUUCUGUAAAAAUGUUGGGAACCAAAAAAAAAGAAAAAAGAGGAA